AGGACGAACGCUGGCGGCGUGCUUAACACAUGCAAGUCGAGCGGAAAGGCCUUUCGGGGUACUCGAGCGGCGAACGGGUGAGUAACACGUGAGUAAUCUGCCCAUCGCUUCAGGAUAGCCAUCGGAAACGGUGAUUAAUACUGGAUAUGACAUUCCUUCGCAUGUUGGGGUGUGGAAAGUUUUUUCGGCGGUGGAUGUGCUCGCGGCCUAUCAGCUUGUUGGUGGGGUAAUGGCCUACCAAGGCUUUGACGGGUAGCCGGCCUGAGAGGGUGACCGGCCACACUGGGACUGAGACACGGCCCAGACUCCUACGGGAGGCAGCAGUGGGGAAUAUUGGACAAUGGGCGGAAGCCUGAUCCAGCAACGCCGCGUGAGGAUGACGGCCUUCGGGUUGUAAACCUCUUUCAGCACAGAACGAAGUUUGUCGUUUUUUGGUGUAAGUGACGUAGUGUGCAGAAGAAGGACCGGACCAACGUACGUGCCAGCACGCCGAC
rnacentral:rRNA from 1 species